rnacentral:rRNA from 1 species
CGGAGGGUGCGAGCGUUGUCCGGAAUCACUGGGCGUAAAGGGCGCGUAGGCGGCGCGGGCAGUCAACGGUGAAAGCUCGGGGCUCAACUCCGAGUCGGCCGUCGAUACUCCCGGGCUCGAGCACUGUAGAGGCAGGUGGAAUUCCGGGUGUAGCGGUGGAAUGCGUAGAGAUCCGGAAGAACACCGGUGGCGAAGGCGGCCUGCUGGGCAGUAGCUGACGCUGAGGCGCGACAGCGUGGGGAGCAAACAGGAUUAGAUACCCUGGUAGUCCACGCCGUAAACGAUGGGCACUAGGUGCUUGGGGGAGCGACCCCCUGAGUGCCGGCGCUAACGCAUUAAGUGCCCCGCCUGGGGAGUACGGCCGCAAGGCUG